AUUGAACGCUGGCGGCAGGCCUAACACAUGCAAGUCGAGCGAGCGGCGGACGGGUGAGUAAUGUAUGGGGACUGCCCGAUAGAGGGGGAUAACUACUGGAAACGGUGGCUAAUACCGCAUACUAUCGGAUAACCCAUAUGGGAUUAGCUCGUAGGUGGGGUAACGGCUCACCGAGGCCACGAUCGCUAGCUGGUCUGAGAGGAUGAUCGGCCACACUGGGACUGAGACACGGCCCAGACGCCGACGGAGGCAGCAGUGGGGAAUAUUGCGCAAUGGGAGCAAGCCGGAUGCAGCCAUGCCGCGUGUAUGAAGAAGGCCUUAGGGUUGUAAAGUACUUUCAGCGGGGAGGCGUUACCCUCAGAGGAAGCACCGGCUAACUCCGUGCCAGCAGCCGCGGUAAUUC
rnacentral:rRNA from 1 species